rnacentral:lncRNA from 10 species
AUGCAAAAUGAGGCAGAACUUAGCUUGUCACAUAGGUGUAUUCUUCCUGGAACCGAUGCGGGGUCAGAAAACUGAUGGCUUUUAAGCAAGCUGGACGGGUCCUCUCAGCGCAUUCCCCCACCCGCCUGGCGCCAAUGGAGCUGGCCUGGCCCGCCCAGCCCCUCCCCGCCCCGUCCGCGCUCGGACCGGACUUUCAGGACUGCAGGGGAAAGGGUGGACACCCAGCCUCCCGCCAGGUCAGAGCAGAGGCUAAAAAUGGCCCAGGGGAGACUGCUGGAGUUGCAUGGAGUUCGGGAGCCUAGGAGGGGUCUGAAAAUAACUGUCAAAAAGUUUGAAGGGAGGAUACAAAAAUACAUCAGUUUGCAAACCAGAAGAAGGUCCUCACCAGAAACCAACUAUGCUGGCACCCUGAUCUUGGACUUCUAGCCUCCAGAACUGUGAGAAAUAAAUGUGUGUUUAUAAACCAGUCAGUCAGUCUAUGGUGCUUUAUUAUAGCAUCUGGAACGAGCUAAGACAGCUGCUAAGUAGCAUUCCAUUUGACAAGGAAGACUUACCAUUCACACUACUUCUGAGUUCAAUGAAAGAGAGGCUCGGUGCCUCAGCCCCUGCCUCAGCAGCUAAGGAU